rnacentral:sRNA from 1 species
UUCCCGUUCAUCUAUGUAGGAGUCUACAGUCAACAAGUUAGAGGAAGUAAUGACGGUGCAUUAUUGCUGAGGGUGCUUAAUAAUACAAGUUGCUAUUCAGAAUGCCACCACGAGACACACAAGGCCUUCAGAUGCUUGCCUUUGGCCUUCAUCUUGUACUUUGGAGCAGCCCUGAUGUUCAGAUGAGAAAAAGUCUUCUAAGACAAGAGACCUGCCCACAAACAAGGUCAGUGGGCUNANNNNGCUUGAUGCUUCUCUUUGGUAUCUGCCAGGAUUUCCUGUGAACGCUCUGUGAUGAUAAAUGGUCUUCACCAGUUUAGCGAAUCAACCUCUAAGGUAAAGAAUAAA